rnacentral:rRNA from 1 species
GACGAACGCUGGCGUCGUGCUUAACACAUGCAAGUCGAACGGUGAAGCCCUUCGGGGUGGAUCAGUGGCGAACGGGUGAGUAACACGUGAGCAAUCUGCCCUUGACUCUGGGAUAACUUCGGGAAACCGGAGCUAAUACCGGAUAUGACGCACGGAGGCAUCUUCUGUGUGUGGAAAGAUUUAUCGGUCAGGGAUGAGCUCGCGGCCUAUCAGCUUGUUGGUGGGGAAUGGCCUACCAAGGCGACGACAGGUAGCCGGCCUGAGAGGGUGACCGGCCACACUGGGACUGAGACACGGCCCAGACUCCUACGGGAGGCAGCAGUGGGGAAUAUUGCGCAAUGGGCGGAAGCCUGACGCAGCGACGCCGCGUGGGGA